rnacentral:lncRNA from 1 species
UCUCAAAUUCUCAAUGAAGGUGCGAUAUUUUAAAUUAAGGUACAGAAAAAGGAAUCUUCUCCAAAUUCAAAUUUCUUAAAAAAAAAGACAUAUCUGUCUUUAGAAACAAAAAAAAAAGGAAGAAAAAGGACAAAUAAUAGAAAUUCCUGUCAGUGAGGGAUGGAAUAACAUAUGAUGCUUGCGGCUUUUCCUAUUUCGGCUUGGAUUGAAAAUACUGGACAGGGCACAGUUGAAUGUAGAUAUCAUGAACGCGAGGCAAGAUGCAUUGCGAUUUCCUCUUCUGUGGCUCGGAACCGGUCGAUUCCUAAGCCAUUCGAAAGGCACUGGUUUUUUUGUCUUUCUUUCGGUUUCGGUGACCGCCUCGUCUAUGUACUCGGCGCCUUUGGGCGGAGCUUUCUCGAUCAACUGAGGGAGAAAAGCUCAAUCUUUCACUAUUACCAUGUCGUUUGGAGAUCAAAAUAUCUUUCUUAUGGCAAAAAUCUCAAAAAAGCUUUAUGAUUAAAAUGAAUCAUACUUGAAAAUUUUUCAAGGACUUCAUUCCCUCAAGCAUGGAAAAUGAUUGUAUACUGAGACCGUCCUAUCGGGAGAGGCCUCAUAAACGGUUCCAGUAACAUUUCAUUUGACGAUAUUUAAUCAAACAAAAGUCUGACUUGCUAACGAGGAACCGAAAAAGUUAUUUCUUGACUUGAAUGGCUCUAACAAAGCUCGUUGACCACCAAAGGUUUAGGUCUAACAUCCUAUUAUCUUCAUUAGCUACUUGGUUACCCAGGGCCGAGCCACCUAACCAAAUGACUUGACCCUUUUAAAAUAAAAUUUAAAUGAUAUAGAUAUAAUAGCUUAAACUUUUAGAUUAA